GUCAGUAUUGGUGCGUGUAUGUGGUGGAAUGUGUGUAUAUCUCCCUGGCUCACUAUUCUCUCUCUCUCGCUCACUCUUGCACACACAAUUGCUGGGUUCUCAUGCUGUGCUGGUUCUACAACCAGAUUUGUAAGGUUUGGUGAUUGUAUCUGUUUUCAAGGUAGUUUGGAAGUGAUUGUGGCGACAAUGAAGACUCUGCUGUUGAUGAUUCUCGUCAGCCUGGCGGCUCUUCCUCCACCAGUGCAAGGUCUCCAGUGUUAUACGUGUGUGACUAGUGGGAACGACAUGACGUGUCUGAGCGACCCAGAACAUGUGGUCAACGGGUCGCCCAUCACAGACUGCAAGCAAGGUGAAAAUAUCUGCUGCACCAUCACUCGUCAGGAGUACCUGGAGACUCCAGGUGUGGCGCAGUCCUUUGGUCGAGGCUGCCAGGAAAACUGCAUGGAAGACGGCUUCUCAGAGAACCCAGACUCUACCCAGGUUAUCUACCUCACCUACUGCAAGACGCCCAAGUGUAACAAGGGUGAGGAAACGUACCUCUGGACGAUGGUGGUGGUGGAGAUGACAGCAACAAGGAUAACGUUAUUAAGAACAUCCCUGGCAACGUAGCUUCUCUCACUACCCCGCUGCCGCUUCUGAUGACUGCCGCAGCCUUGGCACUAGUUCCUGGGAACUAAUGCCAGAGCCUCCUUGUAAGCUAAGGCCUCGUCAACAACCUCCAGAGGAACUAAUGCCUUGUUACUUCACCAGCCAUCAACUCAUCAGCCUUCCCAGUGAGAGGACAAUGGGAGGCAAUCAGGUUUAGUCAAAAAAAAAAAAAAAGAAAAUAGUUGCAAUUCUCAGGUUCAGGAGCCUCUCACAGACAUUAAGUCACCUUAUAAAUCACAAUAUUUGACUUUAUUAGGUCAUCUUACUUUAAUUUUUAGAAAAAUUACUAUAUAAUAUCCUUUUAAAUAAUUUAAUAUUGUGUAUGAAAUGUAAAUAAACACUUAAUUGCCUAAUAAAAGAAUUACUGGCUUUAAAUAAAAUAUUUGAUA